CUCUCUCUCUCUCGCAUAUUUCUCCUUCCUCCCUCAAACCAACAGUCGCCUCCCCUAUUUGCUGUUUGUCGACAUCGAUGCCCUCCGUUUUUCUCACCAACACCGCUGCUAUUCUCGGUUCUGCGACUGAAGUCGCGACCACCACUUUCCAAUCAACUACCGAUGCUCCGUUUCCGGCAACCCAGGCUUUGUUCUCCACCUCUUGACCAUGUUCUUGUUCGAAUAGAUCAAGACGUGUAUAUCGAGAAGGUUCAGAAUUAUUCCGAUGGUGUUUCAAGUUGAAGCAAGAAUAAUCUGAAAAGACAAACGGAGAAAGAGUAUUGUCAGAAGCUACUUAGAAAGAUAUGAUUGUGCGGUAUAGUGCUAUUAGAAUAGUGGCUAGACAUCGGAGUUAAGGCAAGUAUUUCCAUCCUCCUCUUGGAGUUAAGAGCAAGCGAUUUUUAUCUUCCUCUUGACCCUGACCUCUCUUUUAUGACAUGAUUCAUUUUUAUCGUGACAUCAUUCUUGUGAAUCAUGUUUAGUAAUUGAAUACCUUCAGUUGAAUUGAUAAUACAUUUGACUCUCUACUUAAACUUCGAUUUUCAUAAAAAAUUUACAAACUACUGAAAGUAGUAAUUAUUUUGAUUUGCUACAAAAUAAAUUUGUUUAACAAAAAAAGCCACUUGAAUUCUUGAAUUUCCGAAUCAUGUUAAAAGCUGUAGCUUUUAAAUUUAAUAUAUCGGGUAGUUUUGCGUAAGAGGCUCAGACAUCGGCCCAGCAUGAAAGGUGGCUCCUUCAGCCCGGAUUACCAGAAUUCGUAAUAUUUGUCGACCUUGCUGAAUAAGCUUGGUUUAUGGACUAUAGCAUGACUGAUCAUCUGUUAUAGCCAGGUGUCUUAUUUAAACCCAAUUAAAUAUUGAUUAGUUUCAAAGGAGACUAUCUUAUGUUCAAAAGAUAAUGAAAUUUAUUUUUAUCUCUACAGCUUUAAAUUCAUAUAUUGAUGUAGAAAUGCUUUAUCAUUGUAUAUCAUUUCACUCUUUUAUAGUGAAUUGUUGAUUUACAACAUCAUGUUUAAUCAAAAGUUUAAUUUUAUUUCAAACAUUCUGAUUCACUUAAAUAUGUAUAUCUUGUGGCUUUCGCCUAUUAUAUUCUUGUUGAGCAUUAUUGCUCAAUCUUGCUAUUCCUUCUAACCCUUUUCAGCUAGGGACAAAGAUGAUUCACUUAAGACUAGGCAAGGAUUGCAAGUGGUUGAGUUUCAGGCAGGUGGUCAGGUAGAGUAUCCAUGGCGAUAUUAUUACGACUAGAUGCAGCUGGAGUUCUGCAAUUCAAUUCAGUUGGAAAUUAGAUUUGUUUAUUUAGUUAUCAGCUACUCUUCUUAUCGAGGUUUAGCUGAUAAUGUAGUUUAAUUUGUAAUUAAGAUUUUAUAGUUUUAGUUUUUGAUUUCAAUGCUGUAACCUGUA